AUUGAACGCUGGCGGCAGGCCUAACACAUGCAAGUCGAACGAGUGGCGGACGGGUGAGUAAUGUCUGGGAAACUGCCUGAUGGAGGGGGAUAACUACUGGAAACGGUAGCUAAUACCGCAUACCAUCGGAUGUGCCCAGAUGGGAUUAGCUGGUAGGUGAGGUAACGGCUCACCGAGGCGACGAUCCCGAGCUGGUCUGAGAGGAUGACAAGCCACACGGGAACUGAGACACGGUCCAGACUCCUACGGGAGGCAGCAGUGGGGAAUAUUGCACAAUGGGGGCAAGCCUGAUGCAGCCAUGCAGCGUGUAUGAAGAAGGCCUUCGGGUUGGAAAGUACUUUCAGCGGGGAGGCGUUACCCGCAGAAGAAGCACCGGCUAACUCCGUGCCAGCAGCCGCGGUAAUAC
rnacentral:rRNA from 1 species